rnacentral:piRNA from 1 species
UCCAAGACAGAAGGAUGGCAUGUGCUGGC